ACCGCAUGACAUCCUGCCUUUUAAGAGGUGAACAUCAAAGCUGGGGAUCGCAAGACCUAGCGCUCGAAGAGGGGCCCGCGUCCGAUUCACUAGUUGGUGAGGUAACGGCUCACCAAGGCGACGAUCG
rnacentral:rRNA from 1 species